CCUACGGGCUGCAGCAGUGGGGAAUAUUGCACAAUGGGCGCAAGCCUGAUGCAGCCAUGCAGCGUGUAUGAAGAAGGCCCUAGGGUUGUAAAGUACUUUCAGUCGGGAGGAAGGCGUUGAUGCUAAUAUCAUCAACGAUUGACGUUACCGACAGAAGAAGCACCGGCUAACUCCGUGCCAGCAGCCGCGGUAAUACGGAGGGUGCAAGCGUUAAUCGGAAUUACUGGGCGUAAAGCGCACGCAGGCGGUUGAUUAAGUUAGAUGUGAAAUCCCCGGGCUUAACCUGGGAAUGGCAUCUAAGACUGGUCAGCUAGAGUCUUGUAGAGGGGGGUGGAAUUCCAUGUGUAGCGGUGAGAUGCGUAGAGAUCUGGAGGAAUACCGGUGGCGAAGGCGGCCCCCUGGACAAAGACUGACGCUCAGGUGCGAAAGCGUGGGGAGCAAACAGGAUUAGAUACCCUAGUAGUC
rnacentral:rRNA from 1 species